GACAGGAUGUUGCUAUGUUUCCCAGGCUGUUCUCAAACUCCUGGGCUCAAACAAUCCUCCCACCUGGACCUCCCAAAGCACUGGGAUUACAAAGAGACGAGGUUUCCCCAUGUUGACCGGGCACUCCUGGCCUCAAGUGAUCCACCCCCGUUGGCUUCCCAAAUGCUAGGAUUACAAGUGUAAGCCACAGCACCUGGCCUCAUGCGUGUUCUUUUUCUUUUGGAGAGAGUCUCACUUUGUCACCAUGCUGGAGUGCAGUGGCACAAUCUUGGUUCACUGCAACCUCCCAGGUUCCAGUGAUUCUCCUGCCUCAGCCUCCCG
rnacentral:lncRNA from 10 species